UAGUCUUUCCCUCCAUGCCUGAAUCCAACCCUCCAGACCAUUCUUCCCUCGGGGCAACUUCAUAUCUGACAUCUAUCUGCCAGCCACAGACCCCAAUUGUGACUGUGAAAGUGAUAAGAGACUCCUGGGUUCUGGAAACACCUCCAGGACAGUAAUCCCCUGCCUGUGCUUAACAGGCUUGGUGCCAGGGAUAGGGGUAGAUUGGAAAAGGGCCCCUUUUCACAGAUAACUGACUUUAGCCUCCUUUCAGGAAACGUGAUCCCUAAUGAGUAGAUCAGGGAUGGUCAGGGACUCAGGGUGUGUCAAUUUGGGGUCGGGGAAGGCUUCUAAAAAUAGAGAACAAUUCAGACUUCUGUUCUUCCUGCUUUUCUAGGGAUGUGAGAAAGGUAGAAUGACAGCUUCCUCAGCUCUGUUAAGGCAACCCUGGAAAGAGCUCACAGCUCUAAAGGGAAAUGAGGAUCUCGGACUUGUGUUCCCUACUUCCAAGCCCUUCCAGAAUUCCGAGAUGUUCCUAUACUCAUCCUCAACGUUUUUUUCCUCCAGGUGGAUCUUGACCCUGUGCAGGCUCCUGCAAAUGUAAAUCCUACCGAUGUAACUCCCGCAAGAAAAGUUGCUGCUCCUGCUGCCCAGCAGGAUGCGCCAAGUGUGCCCAGGGCUGUGUCUGCAAAGCCCCCCAGACUGAAGGUUGCAGCUGCUGCCACUGAUGCUCCUGUCUCCCUGUGCCUGUAGAUAGAGGAAUUUGUACAGAUCUAGCUUUUCAUACACCAUAAAUGUGCUUUCUAUACUGUUUCUAUGAAAUGUGUGAAUGCAAAUAAAACCAUUACAUAUCCUUCUA